UAUAGCUCAACAUUUUGGAACCACCUAGCCCCGUGGAAGGCCACCCCACCCAUGGCGAACUCAGUAGUGAAACGAAAUAGCCGAAUGGUCGGCCCCGACCGAUGAUAGUGUGUGGGGCGGACGGCGAGUCUUUCCCAUGUGAAAGUAGGACAUUGCCAAGC
rnacentral:rRNA from 1 species